rnacentral:rRNA from 1 species
UCGGGGCGUAUUUUCUCUCGAUAUACUAUGUGACAUACCUACUGUUGCUUCGGCGGGAUUGCCCCGGGCGCCUCGUGUGCCCCGGAUCAGGCGCCCGCCUAGGAAACUCAACUCUUGUUUUAUUUUGGAAUCUUCUGAGUAGUUUUUACAAAUAAAUAAAAACUUUCAACAACGGAUCUCUUGGUUCUGGCAUCGAUGGAGAACGCAGCGAAAUGCGAUAAGUAAUGUGAAUUGCAGAAUUCAGUGAAUCAUCGUAUCUUUGAACGCACAUUGCGCCCGCCAGUAUUCUGGCGGGCAUGCCUGUCUGAGCGUCAUUUCAACCCUCAUGCCCCUAGGGCGUGGUGUUGGGGAUCGGCCAAAGCCCGCGAGGGACGCCCGGCCCCUAAAUCUAGUGGCGGACCCGUCGUGGCCUCCUCUGCGAAGUAGUGAUAUUCCGCAUCGGAGAGCGACGAGCCCCUGCCGUUAAACCCCCAACUUUCCAAGGUUGACCUCAGAUCAGGUAGGAAUACCCGCUGAACUUAAGCAUAUCAAUAAGCGGAGGAACUU